GGAGACUGAAGACACACUAUUAGUGAACCUUCGGUGGCUUCAGCUUGUUACCAACAUGGAAAGAAUCCAUCAGAGACCAGACUCCCCACCUACAACCAGCUCUGUAUCUUUGAGGAGUGAUGAUUCAAAGCAUCAAAACAUUGACUUUAAAAAAGGAGAACCCUCUGCUGUUAAAGAAGUUGAUCCAGAAAGCUCAUCUGUUUCCAAUUCCCAGUCUUGCCAGCAGCAUCUACCAGACCGGGACUCUAUAUUUAUGAUAUUGGAAAAGAAAAUGUUUCUUUUUGUGAAGAAUGAGUUGAAGAAGAUGCAGAAUGCUCUGAAUCCAGAUGGCACAGAAACCUCAGAGAGUCAGCGGAAGGAUGAGGAGGUGUUGGACAAUGAAAAUAAGGAGCAGAGGAUGGGCAGCAAAGAGGCAUUUUUGAAAAUCAUAGUGGGUUUUUUGAGUGAAAUGAAGCAGGAGG
ensembl:lncRNA